UUCAGUGCUCACUUUGAUAUACUAAAAAUUGGAAAUGAUACAGAGAUUAGCAUGGCGUCUGAGCCAGGAUGACUUGCAAAUUCGUGAAGUGUUCUGUAUUCUU
ensembl:snRNA U6 U6 spliceosomal RNA